UACUGAGCACGACCGACUGAGCA
rnacentral:piRNA from 1 species